GAGACGAGGGUCUCACUCUAUCACCCAGGCUGGAGUGCAGUGGUGCGAACACAGCUUACCGCAGCCUCAGACUCUGGGCCUCAAGCGAUCCUUCCAUUUCAGCUUCCCAAACAGCUGGGACUACAGGUGCACACCAUUAUGUCUAGCCAUUUAUUUAUUUAUUUGUUUAUUUAUUUUUUAUUGUUUUGGAGAGACAGGAGUCUCAAUAUUUUGCUCAGGCUGGUUGCAAACCUCUGGGCUCAAGUGAUCCACCCACCUAGGUCUCCCAAAAUGCUGAGAUUACAGUAUUUUGAGUCACAACACCCGGCCUGCUAACAACUUUUAAGCCUUCCCUUUCCCUCACCCCCUUGUGCCUUGCAUCUGGGCAAGCUCAUGUGAAAGUCUGGAUGCUCUUUGUUGGUGCAAGCAGGAAAUCCAAACCACACAAGCCCCUGCCCACAUUGUAACCACUAUUAAAAAUUCCAAGCCGGCCGGGCGCGGUGGCUCACGCCUGUAAUCCCAGCACUUUGGGAGGCCGAGGCAGGUGGAUCAUGAGGUCAGGAGAUCGAGACCAUCCUGGCUAACAAGGUGAAACCCCGUCUCUACUAAAAAUACAAAAAAUUAGCCGGGCGCGGUGGCUCAUGUCUGUAAUCCCAGCACUUUGGGAGACCAAGGUGGGAGGAUUGCUUGAGCCCAGGAGUUCAAGACCAGCCUGGGCAACAUAGUGAGACCUCAUCUCUAAAAAUAAAAAUAAAUGAAAAUCAAAUCCCAAGCCAGUCUUUUUUCUUGCUCUCCCAAGCUGUUUUGAACUAGCUUGGGAUGUCUUCCCUGUUCUUCCCCAGAAAGCCUCAUCAUGUAAGUCAGGGGCGUCCAAUAUUUUGGCUUCCCUGAGCAACACUGGAAGAAGAAUUGUCUUGGGCCACACAUAAAAUACACUAACACUAACGAUAGCUGAUGAGCUUAAAAAAAAAACAACUAGCAAAAAAAAAAAAUCUCAAAAUGUUGUAAGAAAGUUUAUAAAUUUGUGUUGGGCUGUACUUAAAGCCAUCCUGGGCCACAUGCGACCCGCAGGCUGUGGGCUGGACAAGCUUGAUGUAAGUAAUAAACAUGUGCAUGCUCUCUUGGUAUGUGUGAUGGCGUCAAUCUUGACAUCCAAACUAAAUUUAGGGUGGGGAUCCACCUUGCUUCUGCAAGGUAACCACAGCAUCUGGUCUCUUGCCAUUAAAAGAAUUCUCCACAUCACUGCUGGAGUUAUCUUUCAGAAAACUCGCUUUGCUCGGGUUCCAGAUUUGUGCCAUGAUGUCCCUCGGUUCCCCUCCCUACAAUCCCAGUAGUGCCAGAGCACUCUGCCCCACUUAACCUUGUCAGCCUCAUCUUCCUCCACCUUUCCUCUCACACGCCUCAAGGGGCAAUCACACCACAGUGGUGAUGCUACAAAGCACUGAUAAGUUUAUUUCCAAUGUAUUCCCACUGCCUUCUUCUUUCUCACUGAAAAGCUCAAAGAAACCACAAAGAAACCAAAGCACUUCUAUAGUUAAACAAAAUCUGAAAGCAGACCAGCAGACCUCGUUUUCCUGCCCUCUAAGACCAGACAAUAGCGGGGCUGGGGAAGUGGAAAGGAUCUGGUGGAAGGAAAGUGAGGAGACACAGGAAGAAGGGAAGAGGAGAAAGAGCAGAGCCUCAAUCAAGAGGCACUUCCCUUCCUCCCAGCCCAGCUUCACCUCUGUCAGGCCUUUUCUGAUCUUCCCUCUUUGGGGCUCUCCUGACAUACCACUCACACUUAUUUCAUUGUGAUAUUGUUGGUUGUUCAUGUUUGUUUACUCCACUGGGUCAAUGGCUUCUUAAAAGUGGGGAGUGCGCUUUAGUUGCCCCACAUCCAAGGCACACAGGGCUGGCAGGCCUCCUGCCAUACACUACUAA
rnacentral:lncRNA from 1 species